CCUAAAACAAACAAAUUAUUAUGGACAUCACAGACAAAUACAUGACAUGACACAAUUAACAUAGUACCAACAUUAGUGAAAAAGAGCGGAAAGCGGAUGACAGAUUGUUAAGGCAAGCAACAUAGCGGAUGAAAUGGAGGAAAAAACGUAGAGAUUAAAUUAUAUAGAUAGAUAGAAAAUAAUAGUAAGACGAGCAGUAAGAAUUAAAGUUUUAUAUUAUGUUCCUGUACAUACUUAAUAAGGAUAGAAGUUAGGGGCGGGUCCAUUAGAGUGAGAACUUCCAAGAUGGCAACAGCCUCGCCUGUAAAAAUGGAUGAUUGAGGAGGGCACUUAAACAUCAAGACAAUGCUAUAUUUUGGAACCACCACUGCUGCUCCAACACAAUUUGCGGAAUUAUUUUUUGAUGCGUCAGUAAACACCGGUAAGUAGUCUUCCCACUUUUCUAAAAGUUUUUUAAAUUUGCAGUUAGCUCCCGGGUCAUUUUUAAAAAUUCCAAGGUCUAAAAUAACACUAGGGGUGUAAAUUAAAGUUUCAAAUUUUGUUUCAAAUAAGGGGUUUGUUCCUGAUUUAUAUAAUAUGGGGUUUAUACGAUUUAAUUUAGAAUAAGUAAUAAUAAUUUUUGGAAACUCCUUAUGCAUCCAAUAUGGGUUUUCAGUGACCAAUGAAGCAAGAGCCCGCAAGCGUGUAAUCAGCAAGUGAUUGGAGUUGGAGAUAGCUCUUAUGAGGAACCUGUCAGCAAGAUAUUGUCUACGCAGCGCCAGAGGAGGCUCCACACAUUCUACUUGCAUGGCAUUUUUUGGGGAAGAUCUCAUGGCACCAAAUGAGGUAUUCCACUCAUUUUCCGAUCCAAGAUGAUACCCAGGAAUUUGGUUGAUUCGUUAUUGGGAAUGCUUUCUUCACCAUAAUGAACAUCUGCAGUUGGCAUGUUCCUUUUGCGACUGAAGAUCACAGCACAGCUCUUGGAAGGUGACAAAGACAGACCAUGCUCUUCAAGCCAAUCCUUCAGAAGAGGUUCAGGAGCCGGGGAUGGAAGAACAGAUGAGGGCUUGGAAAUAACAAUGGGAAAGUGAUCGCUGCCAUAGGACUGACGAAGCACAGUCCAAGAUAACAAUGAGGCCAAAUUAGGGGAGCAAGCUGACAAGUCGGGAACGGAUUGUGGGUUCUGGCCUGGAUAGACUCGAUGUGUGGGCGAUCCGUCGUUUAUAACGCAAACAUUGAUUUCAUCGAAGAUUUCUAACAAGAGUGACGAAAACCCGUCCGAAUGGUAUGAUCCCCAAGAAAUGUUAUGUGAAUUAAAAUCGCCUAAAACUAUAUGAGGAGGAGGGACAGAGGUUAGGAUAGAAGAUAAUUCAGGAAUAAGGUCAAGGUCAGGGUGAGGAAUAUAUAUUGAAAUGAAAUUAAUGCCCAUAACCUUAGCGGCUACGGCAUUAAUUUCAUUUCCAUGAGGAGGGAGGGGAAUUUGAGAGAAGGGGUAGGAUUGCUUGAUCAACAGAGCGCAUCCUGCACGUCCAUCGACGCGGUCAUCCCGGAGGCAUGAGAAGCCCGGGAGUCUAAACCGAGACCCGGGCCUCAGCCACGUCUCCGAGAUGGCCGCGACAGACACAGAAUGGUCAUUGAUCAGCUGGAUGAGAUCUGUUUUUUUAGGAAAAAUACUCCGGCUAUUCCAUUGAAGAAAUGUGGCCUGGCGGUCCGUGGUGGUGAGGGAAGGAGAGUUUUUCUACUAGGGUCAACAUUAUAGGUGCAACGUCGUUCGGUAAUAUAUCACUCCAUUUGGCGAUGAUAUUAGUCAACAGUUUUAGGAGGAGCUCCAUGAGGUCCUCAUUUGGAGUUUCUCUGGUGUAUGAGUUAUUGAGGGCUUGUCCGUUGGGAAUUUGGGAUGGAGGGGGUCGGACUAUAUUGUUAUGGGCUUGUUGGUCAUAACCUGGGGACAAGGAAGGUCUUGACCGAGGUGACAAAAAUACUGUUUUGCGGUGAGAGGUUCUGGGAGGGGUAGAAGGUAAAUCUGUUAAGUCAAAGGUUGAUUGUGAUGGGGGGGAAGGUUCUCUUGUGGGGCCAAACAUUAUAUUUGCAACGUCCGCAUAGGGUCUACGACUAACAACUGGGACUUGUGUGGAUGCUUCAGCAUAUGAAAUGUUUCUUUCAGACAUUAUCAGUUUGAUGGACUUUUGUCGGUGAUGUUCUGGGCAGUUUCUGUCAGUGGCAUAGUGUCGGGCAGUGCAAAAAAUACAGGAUAUGUGUUCGGGAGCUACAUUACACCCAUCACCCGGGUGCUUUUGGGCACAUUUGUAGCAGCGGGCAUCUGAGCGACAUUGAGUCUGAAUGUGUCCAAAUCUAAGGCAUUUUCGGCAUUGAAUUGUUGGCAGUAGGUAUACUUCCACCACUAGAGAAGUAUAAUAAGCAAAUAUUCUAGAUGGCAAAGUUUGACCUUCAAAAGUAACUACUACAGUCUGGGUUGGAACCCAGGAUGGAGAUCCAUCUUCCUUAGUCACUUUCCUUUGUAGGCGACGCGCUUUCAGAAUCCUACCUUUACCUUCUAUUAAAUUUGUACCCUUAACGAAAUCAGUCAUGGACCAAUCCGUUGGAACUCCUCGAACUAGACCCAUACGAGAAAUGUUGUAUGUUGGUAUGUUUGCUGAUAGUUUGUAUUUAUCUAACAUAGGGUUUUUUAAGAUAGAGUUGGCAUCAACGGCUUUAUUGAAUGUUACUGAAACUCUAUUGCGGCCUACAGAUUUUAUCCCGUCCUUCUUAAUAUUUGUGACAUUUGCCUGUGUUAAGAGCGUACCUACAUAGAUGGCUUUCAGUGUUGACCUGGAGUCAGCAGAAGAUUCCUUUGAGAUGUGAACCACAAAUGGGCCAUCGUCGUCUGCAUUGUAUCCUCUGCCUUCUGUGUCAAGAUCAGGGUGUUUGUACAAAAGUGGGUUAGCAUUCUCAUCGCGUUGUUUAUCUACGUGGGGGUUGGUGGCAUCCUCAUUUACUAUUGCUAUUACCUGUUCCGAGAUCUCUUUGUUGACGUUGGUUGUAAUUUUUUUAAGAGCCGGUUCUUGUGGGCUACUGACCGGUGAUAAGUCUAAUGUUUGCAAGUUUCUUUUUCUAGAAUUAUUUUCAAUGUCCAU